GACGAACGCUGGCGGCGUGCUUAACACAUGCAAGUCGAACGGUAAGGCCCUUCGGGGUACACGAGUGGCGAACGGGUGAGUAACACGUGGGUGAUCUGCCCUGCACUUCGGGAUAAGCCUGGGAAACUGGGUCUAAUACCGGAGAGGACCACUGCCUGCAUGGGUGGUGGUGGAAAGCUGUUGCGGUGUGGGAUGGGCCCGCGGCCUAUCAGCUUGUUGGUGGGGUGAUGGCCUACCAAGGCGACGACGGGUAGCCGGCCUGAGGGGGUGACCGGCCACACUGGGACUGAGAUACGGCCCAGACUCCUACGGGAGGCAGCAGUGGGGAAUAUUGCACAAUGGGCGCAAGCCUGAUGCAGCGACGCCGCGUGAGGGAUGACGGCCUUCGGGUUGUAAACCUCUUUCAGCACCGACGAAGCGCAAGUGACGGUAGGUGCAGAAGAAGGACCGGCCAACUACGUGCCAGCCGCCGCCGUAACAC
rnacentral:rRNA from 1 species